rnacentral:SRP_RNA from 1 species
ACUUUCAGAGGCCCUCUGUAGCAGGUUACUAGGUUGUUUCCUAUUUUCUUCUUCUUCUGAUGUCCAUCCUGGGCUGUAGUGCGCUAUGCCAAUCGGGUGUCCGCACUAAGUUCAGCAUCAAUAUGGUGACCUCCCGGGAGCAGGGGACCACCAGGUUGCCUAAGGAAGGGUGAACCGGCCCAGGUCGGAAACGGAGGAGGUCAAAACUCCCAUGCUGAUCAGUAGCUGGAUCUUAAGGAAGCACUAUUCCUUGUUGUCUAAGAAAACACAAAAUUGAU